rnacentral:lncRNA from 1 species
AAGGGAAAGCCCAAAAAAAUUGCAUAACAUUGAUAAGAAAAUCACAGGAUUUAUGUGGCAACAAGACCAAAUUACAAUGGUUGAAACCACAAUUUGUCCUGAACUUUAUAUUUAACCUAACAUUGGUAAUAAAAGAAAAAAAUGAUUAAUAGCAACGAUGCUCAAACCAAAGCUAAAUAUCAUUCUUUAUCUAGUUUACUUUCCAAUAACACAAAAUGGAAUGAGAGGAAAGCAAAUACUAAACCAAGGGCCUUGCGUUAAGCAGAUUUCCUUUCACUCUCUACAUGUUCAUUAGUUUCACUGAAAGCUUCCAUAAAUUAAUCAGUGUCAAGGACAAAAACUUUCUCACGAGUUAUGACCCGGUAAGCUAAAUUCAUGAUAGUAAAAGGAGACCCACAAGAAUGGAAGACUAAGGAGGGAGGACCAGACCGGGGACUCUGGGGCGCUCGAGGAGGACUUCAUCAGUGGAUACCAUGGUCAGAUUACUACCUACGUCCUCCCGGACAGCGUCACCGAACUUGGGCCAGGACCGGCGUUCAACGGCGCUCUUUCCGAGGCGAGCCUGACGCGCUUGCGGGUGCGGGUGGUGGUGAUGACCUUAACCUGUUACCAUCUUCGUUGAACCUGUAUGUUACCACCUUUUCAUGCCGUUCUCAUCUGGACCUAUCUCCUGCUUUGGUUGGCAGCAGAUAGUCUAGGUCUUCUGUGUCGUCCUCCUCCAGCUUCUCCCUCUGCAGGGUCGCCGCCGGGGCCAUGCUUUCUGCCAACAACGGUUCCGAUUGACAGAUUGAUAGCGAGUGGCACAGGCGAGUUGGGUUUGGGUUUCGCGACUCCGGGCGUUCCAUCGAAUACAGGAGGAAGAUAGAGGAAACGGCGUCGUAUAAUCGGCUCUAAUUGUCAUCAGCGCCACAUUACCUUGCUUUUGCUGGACAUUUUUCCACCGAAUGAAGCGUCGUCGUAUUUGGUUCCUUUGGGUUGUCAUGGAAAAGUGGUUUUU